rnacentral:lncRNA from 1 species
GAGAUAGUCAAGUCCCCAAGGAGCUGAUUGUGAAAGAGAUUGACUGUGGGACUGGCAAUAAUGGGUCUGUAAUCAAAUGGGAGAAUGAUGAGAAAGCUAGCAAGAAGGUUAUAUCAAGGGAGAUGAGCUUCACGUUCUCUGAACAUUCAGGUGAUGCUGAAUUUACUACUUCAGGUAAGGGUACCUUAGACCCUUAUCGAAGCACUGAUGAUGUUAGUAGUAGCAGUUUGGUGGAUCCAUAUGCAUUGGAACAGUCGAGGCAUAUUGAUAAGAAAAUAGUGGAAACUGGUGAAGAUAUCGUUUUCUUUGGCAAUAAGACUACUUCAUGGUCUGGAAACACUACUAGUAAAGGGAACUCCGGAUCCAAAGUAAAUGAGAUUGAUAGGCCGAUUGAAAAAAGCUAUAGCACUCGCUUAAGAACUGAAGAUGUGGCAGAUACAACCUCAGAGAACAUGAAAGAGAGUUCUGUGAAGACUUCGAGAGGCAAUGAUGCCUCAACUAGUUACAGUCAUCAGGUCACCAGCUCGGACAAAAGAGACGGAAAGAAAAAGGCGGCAGCAGACGUUAAUGAUGUGAGGGCGGCGAUCAAGGAGCAGGAGAGUGAGGUGGCGAGAGCUUUGUUCUUUGGUAAAACUCAGUCUACUUUUGAUGACAAGAAUGUGAGCAGCUUAGGUUUUCCGCUUGUCUAUGAUGCAAGGAAGGAAGAGUUUCCUAGACUAGAAUAUUGGAGAAAGAAAGAAAAGAACCCUAAUCUAAGUUAUUUAAAAUUAAGGAAUCUUUAAUGAUUCGAAGUGAAUGUCCGAAAUCAUUACAUCCAAACGAAACCUAAACACAUAGCUUCGUCUUCGUUUGAUCUGUAAGCACAUUUUCUCCUCUCGCGUAACCAGAACUCUCAUUUCUCGUUGGAUCCACUCUCUCCCCACCUCCCUCCUUAUAUACGCCUUUUUAAUUUUAUCUUUCCUCUUCUUCUUUGGAUCUCCAGCUGUUUUUCCAGACUCUUUGAUUUCUUAUUUAGAGCAUAUGAUUCCUUAGGAUCUUCGCGCUUAUCGGAGCAAACGUGAGUCCCGCAGAAAAUCUUAUUAAUAAUGUGACUGACAUAUCUGUUUUUUUUUUCUGCCUGAUUCUUGAUUUGAUUUGUGUAUCAUCAGAAAACACCUGAACAGAUAAAAAAAAGGUUUAAUCUUUGGUUACAGGGUAGGUGCUUUCUCCUGUUACCCUUUGCUAAAAAGGUCAACAAUGACGGACAAAAGCUCUGUUGAUGGGAUCCUAGAGUUUCUCAAGAAGAAUCGUUUCUCUAAAGCAGAGGAAGCUCUGCGUAAUGAGCUCAACAACAACAACCCUUCUGACUUGAAUAGGUUUCUUGAGAAUCUUAACCUUGAGGACAAAGAUUCAAGUAAAGGUUCAAAACCAAAGGCUGCCAGUAAUCAAGGUUCUCGAGAUAGUCAAGUCCCCAAGGAGCUGAUUGUGAAAGAGAUUGACUGUGGGACUGGCAAUAAUGGGUCUGUAAUCAAAUGGGAGAAUGAUGAGAAAGCUAGCAAGAAGGUUAUAUCAAGGGAGAUGAGCUUCACGUUCUCUGAACAUUCAGGUGAUGCUGAAUUUACUACUUCAGGUAAGGGUACCUUAGACCCUUAUCGAAGCACUGAUGAUGUUAGUAGUAGCAGUUUGGUGGAUCCAUAUGCAUUGGAACAGUCGAGGCAUAUUGAUAAGAAAAUAGUGGAAACUGGUGAAGAUAUCGUUUUCUUUGGCAAUAAGACUACUUCAUGGUCUGGAAACACUACUAGUAAAGGGAACUCCGGAUCCAAAGUAAAUGAGAUUGAUAGGCCGAUUGAAAAAAGCUAUAGCACUCGCUUAAGAACUGAAGAUGUGGCAGAUACAACCUCAGAGAACAUGAAAGAGAGUUCUGUGAAGACUUCGAGAGGCAAUGAUGCCUCAACUAGUUACAGUCAUCAGGUCACCAGCUCGGACAAAAGAGACGGAAAGAAAAAGGCGGCAGCAGACGUUAAUGAUGUGAGGGCGGCG